rnacentral:tRNA from 1 species
GCCGCGGUGCCAGAGUGGUGAUUGGGCGGGUCUCGAAAACCCGUGGCCCACGGGGCCUCAGGGGUUCGAAUCCCCUCCGCGGCG